AUUCCUACGGGAGGCAGCAGUGGGGAAUAUUGCACAAUGGGGGAAACCCUGAUGCAGCCAUGCCGCGUGUGUGAAGAAGGCCUUCGGGUUGUAAAGCACUUUCAGUUGUGAGGAAAAGUUAGUAGUUAAUACCUGCUAGCCGUGACGUUAACAACAGAAGAAGCACCGGCUAACUCCGUGCCAGCAGCCGCGGUAAUACGGAGGGUGCGAGCGUUAAUCGGAAUUACUGGGCGUAAAGCGCACGCAGGCGGUUUGUUAAGCUAGAUGUGAAAGCCCCGGGCUCAACCUGGGAUGGUCAUUUAGAACUGGCAGACUAGAGUCUUGGAGAGGGGAGUGGAAUUCCAGGUGUAGCGGUGAAAUGCGUAGAUAUCUGGAGGAACAUCAGUGGCGAAGGCGACUCCCUGGCCAAAGACUGACGCUCAUGUGCGAAAGUGUGGGUAGCGAACAGGAUUAGAUACCCUGGUAGUCCACACCGUAAACGCUGUCUACUAGCUGUGUGUGCCUUUAAGGCGUGCGUAGCGAAGCUAACGCGCUAAGUAGACCGCCUGGGGAGUACGGCCGCAAGGUUAAAACUCAAAUGAAUUGACGGAAU
rnacentral:rRNA from 1 species